UUCUCCAUAAUUUUCAAACUAAUAUAAAAUUUUUAAAAAGAAUAUUUUUAAUUCUCCCUAUUUACUGCUUCUUAUCACAACUUACGAUAUAAAGUUAAAUUUGAAUAAAUAUGAAUCAGCGGCAAAUAAUUUUAUUUAAAAGUUAUUAUUUUAUUUUAUUUAAAAGUUAGAUGUUUUUCUCCUUCUUACUUCUAUUUUCAGGUCGAUUAGUAAUUGUUCACGCCGGAUCUCAAAGUUUGUACCCAACGCUGGUCUUGUUUUUAAAGCGGGUUAAGCUAGUGGCGACUAUCAUGGCCAAAUGAAUAAAGCCAAUUUUACUAAGUGAUUGAAAAAAAAUUGUUGCCGAAUAUUCCUCAAAAUUCGGUAAUUAUACUGGACAAUGCACCCUACCACUCAGUUCAAGUACCAACCAAAUCAUCUAUUAAAAAGGACAUGACAGAAUGGCUAAGCAAGAAUGGAAUUCAACACGACCCAGCUGCACGAAAAUGGGAAUUAUUUGAAAUAAUUCAACGAAACAAGCCCCUCAGUGAUGAAAAAAACUAUGUUGUGGACAUUCGGACCCAUGGGCAUGUUGCUCUUCGCACACCUCCAUACAUGUGCGAAUUAAAUCCGAUCGAAUUGGUUUGGGCGCAACUAAAAAAUUAUAUUCGAUCUCACAAUACAACGGGUGAUUUGGCAAUGAAAAAUUUGGCACAGUUAGUCCAGGACGGAAUUGAGUCUAUAACUCCUUUACACUAGGCAAACUGUUGCAAACAUGUCAUGGAGAUUGAAAAUAAAUUCUGGGAGACUGAUCAAAUAAUGGAGGAAGUCUAGCAACUUAUUAUUACGAAUGCUGGUGGUAACGAUGAUAGUGAUGACGAUUCUUCUGACAGCGACGAAGAAAGCGACAAAGAAAAUUAUAUACAAGCCUUAGAAAACGUCGAUCACGAACCGGGUUAAAACAUAUUGCUAGUACAUAUGGGAUGUGUGAUGGACAGAGUUAAUUUUUAUUAAUCUGGCACACACGUCAGGGUUCUAGAUUGACUUGGCAAAACUAGAAAACUAGUCAAGAGUGACAAAAAUAGGACAGCUAAUUUUUACUUUAAAAAAUAAAAUCCAUAGGGAAAAAAUGGCUAGUUCUUUUUUAUAUUACGGUCUGGUAAUUUGUUGAUUUAAAAUGUUAAUUGUUACAAGUCAGUGAAUAGGCCAAAUACUGCCUUAAAUAUUCUCUUUUUAUGACUGAAAAUGGUAAAGGAAACACAGUGGUACAAUAAAUUAUUUAAUUCGGAUAGAAAUUUAAAUUUAAAUUUAUCAGCAAAAAUUAUUAAUCCGAAAUCAAAUUCGUGACAAACUUACAAAUAUUAUUUUCAGGAGGUAUGUUUUAUUUAAUUGACGUUAUCGCGAUUGGACUGUAUUUUUUACCGCUCUUUCGAAUGGAAUCAGUCAUUUGUACCUAAAACCACACAGAAAAAAGUUUUUUUCGAAGCCUUUUUUCAAAUCUGCCAAAAAGACACUAUAAAACUUUAUGGAAUAAAUCGACAAAAUACGUCAACUGAGUAAUUAAUUGAAGUUUCCAAAUGCACUAGUAGUUCUUUGGUAAUGGGUGAACUAUUAAUUUUAGGGCAUUGCUCUACUUAUGGGCGAUAGUGUACA